rnacentral:snoRNA from 1 species
CCCCUCUCAGGAUUGCAUCUGGAGAGUUUCCAGUACUCUACUAGUCUUGGCUAUGGGAGAGAGAGUCAUGCAGAAGCAUAACCAUUCCAUUCCUAGCUUGGACAGUGGCUAACGAGUGGAAGGCAAUCUGUUGCAAGU